GUGCCAGCAUCCGCGGUAAUACCAGCUCCAGGAGUGUCUAUGAUGAUUGCUGCGAUUAAAAGGUCCGUAGUCUGCGAACAGUACUUGUUUGUAAUGCGGUUAAUCAACGACCGAAUAGAACAAGAAGAGUUCAGAGUAGGAGCGAAGGAGGGCUAGAUUAUUGAGCAGCGAGAGGUGAAAUUUGAUGACCUGCUUAGGAGUAACAGAGGCGAAAGCGCUAGUCAAGAGCGAAUCCGGUGAUCAAGGACGUAGGCUGGAGGAUCGAAGACGAUUAGAGACCGUAGUAGUUCCAGCAGUAAACGAUGCCGACACUGUUGUGGAAGAUGCACGACAGAAGAGAAAUCUAGUAGGGCUUUGGGGAGAGUACGCGCGCAAGCGAUAAAUUUAAAGGAAAUUGACGGAAGAACACCACAAGGAGUGGAGUGUGCGGCUUAAUUUGACUCAACGCGGGACAGCUUACCAUACCCGAUGACAGUGUGAGCGUAGUACGCGAUAGGUCAAAGAGUGGUGCAUGGCCGUUAACGACGAGUGGGGUGACCUUUGGGUUAAGUCCGCGAAGUAGUGAGAUCCCUAGGAUAGCUUCGGCUUAUCGACAGGUGUUAAAAACACAGGAAGGAAGGGGCAAGAACAGGUCAGUGAUGCCCUUAGAUGGUAUGGGCUGCACGCGCACUACAGUGGUCACAACAAGAGUUAGUAGAAGUAAAUGUGAUCGAGAGGGAAUGAGCACUGCAAUGUGCACAGGAACGAGGAAUUGCUAGUAAUCGUUAUCUCAUUAAGAAGCGAUGAAUGUGUCCCUGUUCUUUGUACACACCGCCCGUC
rnacentral:rRNA from 1 species